CCUACGGGAGGCUGCAGUGGGGAAUAUUGGGCAAUGGGCGCAAGCCUGACCCAGCAACGCCGCGUGAGGGAAGAAGGCUUUCGGGUUGUAAACUCCUUUUGUCAGGGACGAAGCAAGUGACGGUAGCUGCCGAAUAAGCCACGGCUAACUACGUGCCAGCAGCCGCGGUAAUACGGAGGUGGCAAGCGUUAUCCGGAUUUACUGGGUGUAAAGGGCGUGUAGGCGGGGAAGCAAGUCAGAUGUGAAAACCACGGGCUCAACCUGUGGCCUGCAUUUGAAACUGUUCUGCUUGAGUGCUGGAGAGGCAAGCGGAAUUCCUGGUGUAGCGGUGAAAUGCGUAGAUAUACGGAGGAACACCAGUGGCGAAGGCGGAUUGCUGGACAGUAACUGACGCUGAGGCGCGAAAGCGUGGGGAGCAAACAGGAUUAGAUACCCUGGUAGUC
rnacentral:rRNA from 1 species